GAUGAACGCUAGCUACAGGCUUAACACAUGCAAGUCGAGGGGAAACGAUAGAGAAAGCUUGCUUUUUCUAGGCGUCGACCGGCGCACGGGUGAGUAACGCGUAUCCAACCUGCACAUCACUUGGGGAUAACCUUGCGAAAGUAAGGCUAAUACUCAAUGACGUCUCUAGAAGACAUCUGAAAGAGAUUAAAGAUUUAUCGGUGAUGGAUGGGGAUGCGUCUGAUUAGCUUGUUGGCGGGGUAACGGCCCACCAAGGCGACGAUCAGUAGGGGUUCUGAGAGGAAGGUCCCCCACAUUGGAACUUAGACACGGUCCAAACUCCUACGGGAGGCAGCAGUGAGGAAUAUUGGUCAAUGGGCGAGAGCCUGAACCAGCCAAGUAGCGUGCAGGAUGACGGCCCUAUGGGUUGUAAACUGCUUUUAUAAGGGAAUAAAGUGAGUCUCGUGAGACUUUUUGCAUGUACCUUAUGAAUAAGGACCGGCUAAUUCCGUGCCAGCCGCCGCGGUAA
rnacentral:rRNA from 1 species